CGCUGGCGGCGUGCUUAACACAUGCAAGUCGAGCGAUGAAGCUCUUCGGAAGUGGAUUAGCGGCGGACGGGUGAGUAACACGUGGGAACCUGCCUCAUAGAGGGGAAUAGCCUUCCGAAAGGAAGAUUAAUACCGCAUAAGAUUGUAAUAUUGCAUGAUAUAGCAAUUAAAGGAGUAAUCCGCUAUGAGAUGGACCCGCGUCGCAUUAGCUAGUUGGUGAGGUAACGGCUCACCAAGGCGACGAUGCGUAGCCGACCUGAGAGGGUGAUCGGCCACAUUGGGACUGAGACACGGCCCAGACUCCUACGGGAGGCAGCAGUGGGGAAUAUUGCACAAUGGGGGAAACCCUGAUGCAGCCAACGCCGCGUGAGUGAUGACGGUCUUCGGAUUGUAAAGCUCUGUCUUCAGGGACGAUAAUGACGGUACCUGAGGAGGAAGCCACGGCUAACUACGUGCCAGCAGCCGC
rnacentral:rRNA from 1 species